AUACACGCAAGCGGGAAGAAAUCAUCAGCCAUGUUGGACGACAAUGAGGAUUGAGUUGCUAAUGAGCUGGCUCCUGUCGGACAACAACUUUAAAAUCGAGAUUAAAAAGUUUUCUCUGUCAGUAUGCUGCUGCUGGAAACUGAAGACCCAGAGGAACCUUCAUGAGAGAUUAAUAAAGUUCUAUCUGAUCUAAUAUAAAAUAAGCCACUGUUGAAAAAUGGAAAUAUUGGACAAUCCUGCUUCCAGCUUUGUGAGAAAAGCUUUUGCCAACACCUCUUCCAAUAUGUGCACCACAGCACAAAAACGGAUGACUGAUCUGGAAGAGAUUGACUCUUCUGCACAGCCGUAACCUCCAACUGAUAGAUCACAUGCAGACGAACGAAGGUGGAAAAUGUGAGCCAGCUCUCCUAGUCUAACAACAGUGUCUUUCCUUACCAAUAAAACAUAAUCUUGGACCUUAUGGAAAGCCUUCCCAGAAGAGCUGAAGCGGUUAUAGCUGUAAAAGACAGGUCAACAUCAUAAUGAACAUCAAAUCACUCAAGUCUAUAUUUGUGUGUCAAUUAAAUUAAUGUUUCUAAAUAAAACAUCCAUUUCAUUUA